rnacentral:tRNA from 1 species
GCCAGGUACAUGGCUCAGUGGUGGAGCACUUGCUUAACAUGCACGAGACCCUGGGUUCAAUUCCCAGCAAGGUG